GUAAUCAAUGGAAAUUAAUUUGCGUGAAACCAGAGAUAAGAAUUGUAGCAUUCAAGCUGCGUCGUUGUGUUGAGAACGUACCAGAACACAUUACACAGUGCAGAUAGAUUGUACCAGAUCAAGAUGAGGCUGAUGUGGCUCACUGCGCUUCUCCUGAUAGCGGCUACUUCGUUAGUGGCAGGGCGUUGUGGCACUUUAAAUUAUUUUUGCGGUCCAAAUCGACCUCCUUGUUGCAUGGGAUUCCGUUGCAUAAAAGCGGGAAAGUACCACUUCUGCGUGGACAUGUGGGAUGUCCGGUAACUUAGACUGUCUGCUUUGCCACUCAGGAUUCAUUAGAGCUACGCAAAUAGAUCUUCCACACCUUUUUCUUUAUAGCAUGCAAUUGAAUAAAACUAGUUAUCUCGCAAUAAUUAACAUUAAAAAUAUUAAAAUCG
rnacentral:lncRNA from 1 species